GACGUAGGGUGCGAGCGUUGUCCGGAAUUAUUGGGCGUAAAGAGCUUGUAGGCGGUUUGUCGCGUCUGCUGUGAAAUUUCGGGGCUCAACCCCGAACUUGCAGUGGGUACGGGCAGACUAGAGUGUGGUAGGGGAGACUGGAAUUCCUGGUGUAGCGGUGAAAUGCGCAGAUAUCAGGAGGAACACCGAUGGCGAAGGCAGGUCUCUGGGCCACUACUGACGCUGAGAAGCGAAAGCAUGGGGAGCGAACAGG
rnacentral:rRNA from 1 species